GAGGCUCAGAGGGAGGUGGGUCAGUGUGUCUGGCUGUUAACCAGAAGGUUGGUGGUUCAAGUCCACUCAGGGAUG